UACAGAGGUGGCAAGCGUUGUUCGGAAUUACUGGGCGUAAAGGGCGCGUAGGCGGUCUUGUCAGUCCUUGUGAAAUCCCCCGGCUCAACUGGGGAACUGCACGGGAAACAGCAGGGCUUGAGUUCGGGAGAGGGAAGCGGAAUUCCGGGUGGUAGCGGUGAAAUGCGGUAGAUAUCCGGAGGAACACCGGUGGCGAAGGCGGCUCCUGGACCGAUACUGACGCUGAGGAGCGAAGACCAGGGAGCAAACGGG
rnacentral:rRNA from 1 species